rnacentral:rRNA from 1 species
GAUGAACGCUGGCGGCGUGCCUAAUACAUGCAAGUCGAGCGAACGGACGAGAAGCUUGCUUCUCUGAUGUUAGCGGCGGACGGGUGAGUAACACGUGGAUAACCUACCUAUAAGACUGGGAUAACUUCGGGAAACCGGAGCUAAUACCGGAUAAUAUUUUGAACCGCAUGGUUCAAAAGUGAAAGACGGUCUUGCUGUCACUUAUAGAUGGAUCCGCGCUGCAUUAGCUAGUUGGUAAGGUAACGGCUUACCAAGGCAACGAUGCAUAGCCGACCUGAGAGGGUGAUCGGCCACACUGGAACUGAGACACGGUCCAGACUCCGACGGGAGGCAGCAGUAGGGAAUCUUCCGCAAUGGGCGAAAGCCUGACGGAGCAACGCCGCGUGAGUGAUGAAGGUCUUCGGAUCGUAAAACUCUGUUAUUAGGGAAGAACAUAUGUGUAAGUAACUGUGCACAUCUUGACGGUACCUAAGCAGAAAGCCACGGCUAACUACGG